GGGGCCAUAGCUCAGUUGGUUAGAGCGUCUGAUUGUCGAUCAGAAGGUCGCGGGUUCGAGUCCCGUUGGCCCCG
rnacentral:tRNA from 1 species